UACGAAGGGUGCAAGCGUUACUCGGAAUUACUGGGCGUAAAGCGUGCGUAGGUGGUUUGUUAAGUCUGUUGUGAAAGCCCCGGGCUCAACCUGGGAAUGGCAAUGGAUACUGGCAGGCUAGAGUGCGGUAGAGGGUAGUGGAAUUCCCGGUGUAGCGGUGAAAUGCGUAGAGAUCGGGAGGAACACCGAUGGCGAAGGCAGGUCACUGGGCCGCAACUGACGCUGAGGAGCGAAAGCAUGGGGAGCGAACAGG
rnacentral:rRNA from 1 species